UCAGGCCUAACACAUGCAAGUCGAGCGAGGCAGCAAUGCCUAGCGGCGGACGGGUGAGUAACGCGUGGGAACGUGCCCUUUGGUUCGGAAUAGCCCUGGGAAACUGGGAGUAAUACCGGAUACGGUCGAGAGACGAAAGAUUUAUCGCCGAAGGAUCGGCCCGCGUUGGAUUAGGUAGUUGGUGGGGUAAUGGCCUACCAAGCCGACGAUCCAUAGCUGGUUUGAGAGGAUGAUCAGCCACACUGGGACUGAGACACGGCCCAGACUCCUACGGGAGGCAGCAGUGGGGAACCUUAAAGGAUGGGCGCAAGCCUGAUCU
rnacentral:rRNA from 1 species